rnacentral:rRNA from 1 species
UAAGGAAUAUUGGUCAAUGGACGCAAGUCUGAACCAGCCAUGCCGCGUGAAGGAUGAAGGUCCUCUGGAUUGUAAACUUCUUUUAUCUGGGACGAAAACGGGAUUUUUAUCUCAAUUGACGGUACCAGAGGAAUAAGCACCGGCUAACUCCGUGCCAGCAGCCGCGGUAAUACGGAGGGUGCGAGCGUUAUCCGGAUUUACUGGGUUUAAAGGGUGCGUAGGUGGGCUUAUAAGUCAGUGGUGAAAUCUCCGAGCUUAACUUGGAAACUGCCGUUGAUACUAUAGGUCUUGAAUUAUCUGGAGGUAAGAGGAAUAUGUCAUGUAGCGGUGAAAUGCUUAGAUAUGACAUAGAACACCAAUUGCGAAGGCAGCUUACUACAUAUAAAUUGACGCUGAGGCACGAAAGCGUGGGG